GAACGCUGGCGGCGUGCCUAAUACAUGCAAGUCGAACGGUCUUUCUAUGGAAGCUUGCUUCCACUGAGAAGAUAGUGGCGAACGGGUGAGUAACACGUGGGUAACCCUGCCCAUAAGAGGGGGAUAACAUCCGGAAACGGGUGCUAAUACCGCAUAGUUUUCUUGAUCGCAUGAUCGGGAAAGGAAAGACGGCCUUUGUGCUGUCGCUUAUGGAUGGACCCGCGGCGUAUUAGUUAGUUGGUGAGGUAACGGCUCACCAAGACGAUGAUACGUAGCCGACCUGAGAGGGUGAUCGGCCACAUUGGGACUGAGACACGGCCCAAACUCCUACGGGAGGCAGCAGUAGGGAAUCUUCCGCAAUGGACGAAAGUCUGACGGAGCAACGCCGCGUGAGUGAAGAAGGUUUUCGGAAUCAUAAAACUCUGUUGUCAGAGAAGAACAAGUUGGAGAGUAACUGCUCCAGCCUUGACGGUAUCUGACCAGAAAGCCACGGCUAACUACGUGCCAGCAGCGGC
rnacentral:rRNA from 1 species